GCCGGGCUGGCAGGUGAUGGAGCGGAAAAGAGAUCUUUGUCCUUGUGAGUAUGGAUUUAUGUGGACCUGACAUAUAAGUGUAUCGAACACAACAACUGAACCUUGAACUAGUAUCAAAAGAUGGGGAGUCAUCAUUUGUGGACUUCAGAGGAAAAGAUGAACCAUCAAUCAACAAAGAAGCUACAUCUGCCAAUGUAAGGACAUUUAUAAAUGCUGCCAAUAAUGUGCAUUUCAAUACCAUGCAUCAAUGUGUUGUGUUAUCUUACAUGCAGCAUCAGGUCAAGAAAUAGAACACGGCUGCCCUGGUGUCUCUUCUUGUCUCAACUUCCUCCCUCCUCACUGAAGGGACAGAUCUCCAAUGCCUGAAAUGGAGACAUUUGCUGGAUGAAUAAUUGCUAUGUAUAGAAAAGCAUGACAAAGGAGCUACCAGAACAAAGAAUAAAAGGAACAUCGAACUUGUGUAUGGAGGUCAGAAAGGCUCCGCAAGAGAGGUGACUCCUUGUACUUAAUCUUGAAGCAAAUCAGGUGAUUUUGGCUGAAAGACCUAAUGUUUCAAGAGCAAGCAAAUGAGAAAUACAGAAAAAUGAAAUGCACAAGAAACUCGAGUCCAAAGGCAUAGAGAGAGAUGUAAGAGAAUGGCACAUAUGGAAAACUGAACUUAUGGCAAGAAAUAUUGGUUGCUGGUAAUUGUUUAUGCUGGCUGGGUGAUGGGUUCUUGAGGUUUGUUACACCAUUCUUUCUCUAUGUUUAAAAUUUCCCAUGAUACAAAGUUAAGAAUAAAUGAAUAAACCGGU